rnacentral:rRNA from 1 species
GACGAACGCUGGCGGCGUGCUUAACACAUGCAAGUCGAACGGGUCUGCCCUGUUUUUUGCGGGGUGGGUCAGUGGCGAACGGGUGAGUAACACGUGAGUAACCUGCCCCUCACUUCUGGAUAACCGCUUGAAAGGGUGGCUAAUACGGGGUGUUCUGGCUGUGCCGCAUGGUGUGGCUGGGAAAGAUUCACUUUUGUGGUGUUUUGGUGGGGGAUGGGCUCGCGGCCUAUCAGCUUGUUGGUGGGGUGAUGGCCUGCCAAGGCUUUGACGGGUAGCCGGCCUGGGAGGGUGGGCGGUCACACUGGGAGUGAGGUACGGCCCGGACUCCUGCAGGGGGCAGCAGUGGGGGGUAUUGCACAGUGGGCGGAAGCCUGAUGCGGCGGCGUCGCGUGAGGGGUGGAGGCCUUCGGGGUGUGAACCUCUUUCGCCGGUGAAGAAGGUCCUGCUCUUUGUGGUGGGGUUGACGGUAGCCGGGUUAUGAAGCGCCGGCUAACUACGUG